UGAGGUGUAGUGUAGUCUGGUCAAUGCAUCUGUUAUGGGUACAGAUGGCCAUAGGUUCAAAUCCUGUCACCUUCA
rnacentral:tRNA from 1 species